GGCUCAGGAAUUACUAGAGAAGAGGCUCAAAUUAGAAAAAAAGGGAAAAGCUCUUCAAAGAAAAAUCUGUCGAGUUGAAGACAUAAAAGAAAUUGAAGAGAUGCAGUGGAAAGAAGACGACGAGCGCAAAACGGAAGAGGACAGGACUAGACAUCUGGACUCUGAACGGUUAUACUUUAAGAAUAAGAGAUUGAUGUCCAAAAAAGAGGAAAAGAAAAAGUUGUUCCAGGACAACAGGGACGAAAAGAAAAAGUAUGAAAGGAAUAGAGUCCACAUGGAGGAGGAGAUACAGAGGCUUACUCUCUGCAUUCAAGAAAAGCACAAGGAAUAUAAUCAAGUGAAAGCAAAUCUGGAGAUGGCAAAUAAAAAACGGGUCUCCAGAAGA